AACAUGUCUUUUUGAAAAUAAUUUAAGGUYUAAUYUGCUCCAUGAUUUAAAUUAAAUAGCUGCAGAAUUUUAACUGUACAAAGGUAGCAUAAUCAAUAGUUUUUUAAUUGAAAGCUGGAAUGAAUGAUUUGAUAAGGUAUUUAUUGUCUCAAAUAUAAAGAAUUUAAAAUUUUUUUUUUAGUAAAAAUACUAAAUUAAAUUUAAAAGACGAGAAGACCCUAUAGAUUUUUAUAUAUAUUUAUUUAAUAAAUAAAAAUUAAUUAAAAAUUUUUUAAAUAAAAAAAUAUUAGAUUGGGGUAAUUAUUAAAUUAAAUAAAUUUUAAAAAUUUAAAACAUAAAUUAUUGAAAAAUUGAUCUUAAAAUUUUAGAUAGUUAGAAUAAAAUACCUUAGGGAUAACAGCGUAAUUUUUUUAGAGAGUUCAUAUUAAUAAAAAAGUUUGCGACCUCGAUGUUGAAUUAAGAUAAAAUUUUAAUGAAGAAGUUAAAAAUUUUUGGUCUGUUCGACCAUUAAAAUCUUACAUGAUCUGAGUUCAAACCGGAG
rnacentral:rRNA from 1 species